GAAAGCAAAGAAGGGCAUAUGGAGGAUGCCUAGGCUCUCGAAGGCGAAGAAGGACGUGAUAAGCUGCGAAAAGCUCCGGGGAGUGGCAAAUACACCGAGAUCCGGAGAUGUCCGAAUGGGGCAACCCGUCGAGGCUCGACCUCGACACACGCGAACGCGUGGGCGAACGUGGGGAACUGAAACAUCUAAGUACCCAUAGGAAGAGAAAAUAACAAUGAUUCCGCAAGUAGUGGCGAGCGAACGCGGAAGAGCCCAAACCGCAGGCGUAGCAAUGCGCCGUGCGGGGUUAUAGGACCGGCGCCACGAAGAACCGAAUGCUAGCCGAACCGACUGGAAAGUCGGGCCACAGCGGGUGACAGCCCCGUAGGCGAAAGCGUUCGGCGACUCCAGCCGGCACCUGAGUAACCCGGAGCACGAGGAAUUCCGGGCGAAUUAGCGGGGACCAUCCCGUAAGGCUAAAUACUAACGAGAGACCGAUAGCGAACCAGUACCGUGAGGGAAAGGUGAAAAGAACCUCGAACAGAGGAGUGCAACAGACCCUGAAACCAUAUGCCUACAAGCGGUCGGAGCGGCUUAGUGCCGUGACGGCGUGCCUUUUGCAUAAUGAACCUACGAGUCACCGUCGUUGGCAAGGUUAAGGACAAUGAUGUCCGGAGCCGAAGCGAAAGCGAGUCCGAAGAGGGCGUUGGAGUCAGCGGAGGUGGACGCGAAACCAAGUGAUCUACCCUUGGGCAGGUUGAAGGACAGGUAAAACUGUCUGGAGGACCGAACCGGUAAGCGUUGAAAAGCUUUCGGAUGACCUGAGGGUAGGAGUGAAAGGCCAAUCAAACUUGGAGAUAGCUCGUACUCCCCGAAAUGUAUUUAGGUGCAGCCUCGGAGAGAAUCUGACGGAGGUAGAGCGACUGAUAGGAUGCGAGGGCUUCACCGCCUAUCAAGUCCUGACAAACUCCGAAUGCCGUCAGACAUAUCCGGGAGUAAGGGCGCGGGUGCUAAGGUCCGCGUCCGAGAGAGGAACAACUCAGACCAUCGGCUAAGGUCCCGAAAUCCGGGCUAAGUUGAAGACAAUAACGAGGUGGGAUUGCAUAGACAGCUAGGAUGUUGGCUUGGAAGCAGCCAUUCAUUUAAAGAGUGCGUAACAGCUCACUAGUCGAGUGAUCCCGCGUGGAUAAUAAUCGGGCAUAAGUCCGGUACCGAAGCCAUGGAAUCACGCUUAGGGCGUGAUUGGUAGGGGAGCAUUCCGUACAGCGGCGAAGGUCGGUGGCGAUGCCGGCUGGAGCGUACGGAAAAGCAAAUGUAGGUAUAAGUAACGAUAAUGGAGGCGAGAAACCUCCACGCCGAAAGACCAAGGUUUCCUGAUCAACGCUAAUCGGAUCAGGGUAAGUCGGGACCUAAGGGGCAGCCGCGAGGCGGACCCGAUGGAAGAAACGGUAAAGAUUCCGUUACUGUCGCCGGGAGUGAAGCGGGGACGGAGGAGUGACACCGCCGCGGACUGACGGAAUAGUCCGUUGAAGAGUGUAGGUAUUCGGAGGCCAGGCAAAUCCGGCCUCCGAGCUGAACUUGACAGUACUGCGAGCCUUCGGGCAAGCAGACAGCGCGGGUAAGCAGACUCCCAAGAAAAUCCGCUAAACAUAUGUCGGCGACACCCGUACCGAAACGGACACACGUGGUCGGGUAGAACAUACUAAGGCGCUCGAGAGAUUCACCGUUAAGGAACUAGGCAAAUUGACCUCGUAACUUCGGGAUAAGGGGUCCCACAGCGAUGUGGGCGCAGAGAAUAGGUCCAGGCAACUGUUUAACAAAAACACAGGGCUGUGCGAAAUUUAAAGAUGAAGUAUACAGCCUGACACCUGCCCGGUGCCGGAAGGUUAAGAGGAGAAGUCAUCGCAAGAGAAGCUUUGAAUUGAAGCCCCGGUAAACGGCGGCCGUAACUAUAACGGUCCUAAGGUAGCGAAAUUCCUUGUCGGGUAAGUUCCGACCUGCACGAAUGGUGUAAUGAUCUGGACACUGUCUCAACGGUGAGCUCGGUGAAAUUGUAGUAUCGGUGAAGAUGCCGAUUACCCGCAACGGGACGAAAAGACCCCGUGAACCUUUACUGCAGCUUAGCAUUGGGACCGGGUGCGUGAUGUGUAGGAUAGUCCGGAGACAGCGAUGCGGGGGCGCCAGCCCUCGCGGAGUCGACGUUGAAAUACGGACCUUUGCGCAUCUGGUCUCUAACUCGCGGAAAGCGAGGACACUGCUUGGUGGGUAGUUUGACUGGGGUGGUCGCCUCCAAAAGAGUAACGGAGGCUUCUAA
rnacentral:rRNA from 1 species